rnacentral:rRNA from 1 species
AGUGAACGCUGGCGGUAGGCCUAACACAUGCAAGUCGAACGGCAGCACAGUAAGAGCUUGCUCUUACGGGUGGCGAGUGGCGGACGGGUGAGGAAUACAUCGGAAUCUACUUUUUCGUGGGGGAUAACGUAGGGAAACUUACGCUAAAACCGCAUACGACCUACGGGUGAAAUCAGGGGAUCUUCGGACCUUACGCGAUUGAAUGAGCCGAUGUCGGAUUAGCUAGUUGGCGGGGUAAAGGCCCACCAAGGCGACGAUCCGUAGCUGGUCUGAGAGGAUGAGCAGCAACACUGGAACUGAGACACGGUCAAGACUCCUACGGGAGGCAGAAGUGGGGAAUAUUGGCCAAUGGGCGCAAGCCUGAUCCAGCCAUCCCGCGUGGGUGAAGAAGGCCUUCGGGUUGUAAAGCCCUUUUGUUGGGAAAGAAAAGCAGCAGGUUAAUACCACGCUGUUCUGACGGUACCCAAAGAAUAAGCACCGGCUAACUUCGUG